rnacentral:rRNA from 1 species
CCUACGGGAGGCAGCAGUGAGGAAUAUUGGUCAAUGGGAGAGAUCCUGAACCAGCCAAGCCGCGUGAGGGAAGACGGCCCUAUGGGUUGUAAACCUCUUUUGUCGGAGAACAAAACCCGGGACGUGUCCCGGACUGCGUGUAUCCGAAGAAAAAGCAUCGGCUAACUCCGUGCCAGCGUCCGCGGUAAUACGGAGGAUGCGAGGGUUAUCCGGAUUUAUUGGGUUUAAAGGGUGCGCAGGCGGCGCGCUAAGUCUGCGGUAAAAUUUCGGGGUUCAAACCCCUCGAGCCGUUGAAACUGGCAGACUUGAGUUGACGAGAGGUACGCGGAAUGCGCGGUGUAGCGGUGAAAUGCAUAGAUAUCGCGCAGAACUCCGAUUGCGAAGGCAGCGUACCGGCGCCAGACUGACGCUGAGGCACGAAAGCGUGGGGAUCGAACAGGAUUAGAUACCCCUGUAGUC